UAAAUAAAAGAGCAAAAUUGGAUGAUUCAUUAUAAAUUGGGAAACUAAAAAUAGAAAAGUCGAAAGUGAGAUGAGUAUGGCAGCAGAGGCAACAAAGAAGAGAAAGGCUGGAGAGAAUGUUGCUUCGUCAUCAUCAAAGGCAAAGUGGCCUUUAAUCAAACCUAAAAAGAAUCUGCAGAUUUCUCUUCUCAAACAUAGCGAUCUUUUUAUUGUGCCAGAUUUCUUCACAUCUGCAGAAUCAAAAUCUUUUAUUAAAGCCGCAGAAUCAAUUGGAUUUGAACACCAAGGAAGUCUUGGUCCAUCAAAAGGAGAAGCGUAUAGAGACAAUGAUAGGAUAGCUGUCGACGAUCCUGUGCUCGCAAAUACAGUGUGGCAAUCUGGGCUUAACAGGCUGUUUUCCGAUAUUAAAAUACGCGGAAAAGCUGCUGUUGGUUUGAAUUCAAACAUCAGAUUCUACAGGUACAAGGUAGGCCAGCAUUUUGGACCGCAUAUUGAUGAAAGCGUUAAUAUCGGUGACGGGAAACGCACUCAUUACACUCUCUUAAUAUAUUUAAGUGGCCAUUCUAAACCCAAAACUAAAACUGAUCAAAAUUCUCUGGCUGGAGGAGAGACCGUCUUUUAUGGUUUAAGGAAUAGCAUUGUGGCCGAGUUGAGGGUAUGGCUCUACUUCACAUUCAUGGAGACAAGUGCAUGCUGCAUGAAGCCAGGAACAUUACCAAAGGCAUCAAAUAUGUGUUCCGCUCAGAUGUCGUUUUUGCUUGACAAUUGUUGCGAUUUCAAGCUCGGAAGUUACCUCUGUGAUCACUUUUGAAGUUGUUACUCCACUUUGGUGCUCAGAGGUUUCUCCAUGUUCCAGUUUUCCAGACUGCAUAUUCGAGAUUGAUAUUGGACCUGAAAAGGAGUUUGAGGUAUCUAGUUCUUCCUCUUCUAUUUCAAACUUAGAUGUCUGUUCAAUUUCUGUUUCAGUGCCAAAAGUUUCAUCUAGGAACCAAAACAGCUUCUUUGCUGGAAUGAGACUUACCAUUCCAGCACUGAUGGAAUCCUCCAAGAGUGGGACGGUAGAUUUCUUGACAAAGAGACAUCCAAAUCCGGACGGGUUUUCCCCAAAAAUCUUGUAGAAGGAGCAAAUGAGGAAGUCUGGACGGAUGAGGGAGAGGCCGAAGCUGUCCAUGUCCUUUGGCCCUAAUGCACAAGCAUCGAUCAAAAUAUGCCAGUUAUUCUCCCGAGCUAUAUUCAUCCAUAAAUAAGGAUACCUGGCUCCUGUCACUCUUGAGUGGAGUGGGAAAACAAACAGUCCCCUUUUCUUCCUCUUUUUUCUUUUCCUCAUAAUCAUCUCCUUCAGCUUUGCUGAGUGAAUCCUCAGCCUCGGCCAUGAGAACUCUGCUGACAUCACCUGGGCUCCUUUCUUCUCAGAACAACUAAUCAUUGUUUCCACUGCUUCACUCUCAUAGUCAUAAACCGUCAGAAGCUUCUGACUAGAGCGGAAAGGAUUCUAGUUCUGAUUCUUGACCACCAUGAAGUAGCUGCGUCUUCAAAUUUCCCGUCUUGUAGGACACACUGAAGAAGGGGAAAAGUGAGGUUUUUGUUCGAGUGGGAGGAGAAGAAGGAACAAUUUGUUUUCUGCAGUCAUGAUUUUGUAGCUGGGCAUAGGAGAAGAGGCCGAUGCCAAUAUAAUCAAGGCAGGUAUGGUGGGAGAGAGAGAGGUGCUGGUAUUCUUGGGCUCGGAUUCGGUCGACUUGGUAGCUAUCUGCAUAUUCCGGAUAAGCUUUGCUGAAUAGAGUAAAUGAUUCUUGCAAAGAUGGGAGAGACUCGGGAUUUGUAAAUUGGGCGUUUGGUAGGAUAGAGGAAGUAGCUGUUGCGGCAAAGUUAUGGCGACAUGUCGCUGCGGUGCUUCUGGUCCUUUGGGGCUCAGGAAAGCCAAGCAUAGGGCUUGGACAGCAGCUGUGAAGGCAUACAUGGGAGGCUUCUUUUAGACAAGGGGGAUGCAUUUUUUUCUUCCACUCUCUCCUCGCCAAUAUUGAUAUUUAUUGUUGGCUUCAAAGUUUCUUUUCUUACGGUCAGCUUAUUAUGAUUAUUUCUUUGCAGUCUACUUUGUUUUAAAUGUGACGUUGAUAGGCUUCUUACUCUUCAAAAGAAAAGGUCACUUUGAAAAGGUCAAAUUUUUGAGCUCCCCGUUUCUUGCAGGUUUCACCAAGUUGACCUUGUAAUUUAUACAUACAUAGCCACUUUUGAGGCAGCAUCAGAAAUUUUGUUUCAAAGGAUAAACUGUGCACAUACAUAAUCUUUGUUUCAAAAUUUUGUCCUGGCAUUCUUGAUUACCAAAAAGGCAGAGGCAGCAUCAGAAAGCAACAAAUGUUUAAGAAAUGCAAAGCUCCAGUCCCACUCCAGCGCAUGGUGAGCAGAGUCCAUUUAUUUGGUGCCAUGUGUCCCUCCAAUGAUUACUCUCAGGUCCAAGUCUCUCUUAAAAUGCUGUUAUGCUUGUUUUAUUACAAAACUUGAAAUGGAUAGUUUCAAUUUUUAAUAUUAAUUGGAAAAAGAAGUAUUCUUUACAAACCACUA